rnacentral:misc_RNA from 1 species
GAUGAAGAACGUAGCGAAAUGCGAUAACUAAUGUGAAUUGCAGAAUUCAGUGAAUCAUCGAGUCUUUGAACGCACAUUGCGCCCGCCAGUAUUCUGGCGGGCAUGCCUGUUCGAGCGUCAUUUCAACCAUCAAGCCCCAGGCUUGUGUUGGGGACCUGCGGCUGCCGCAGGCCCUGAAAACCAGUGGCGGGCUCGCUGUCACACCGGGCGUAGUAGAUUUUAUCUCGCUCAGGGCGUGCUGCGGGUUCCGGCCGUUAAAAAGCCUUUUUUACCCAAGGUUGACCUCGGAUCAGGUAGGAAGACCCGCUGAACUUAAGCAUAUCAAUAAGCGGAGGA